CAGUCGCCGCGGUAAUACGAAGGGUGCAAGCGUUACUCGGAAUUACUGGGCGUAAAGCGUGCGUAGGUGGUGGUUUAAGUCCGUUGUGAAAGCCCUGGGCUCAACCUGGGAAUUGCAGUGGAUACUGGGUCACUAGAGUGUGGUAGAGGAUAGUGGAAUUUCCGGUGUAGCAGUGAAAUGCGUAGAGAUCGGAGGGAACAUCUGUGGCGAAGGCGACUAUCUGGGCCAACACUGACACUGAGGCACGAAAGCGUGGGGAGCAAACAGGAUUAGAUACCCGCGUAGUCCCUGUCUCUUAUAA
rnacentral:rRNA from 1 species